rnacentral:rRNA from 1 species
AGACGUAGGGGGCGAGCGUUGUCCGGAAUUACUGGGCGUAAAGAGCACGUAGGCGGGUAUUUAAGUCAGGUGUGAAAGACCGCGGCUCAACUGCGGGGUUGCACCUGAAACUGGGUAUCUUGAGGGCAGGAGAGGGCAGUGGAAUUCCUGGUGUAGCGGUGAAAUGCGUAGAGAUCAGGAGGAACACCAGUGGCGAAGGCGGCUGUCUGGACUGACCCUGACGCUGAGGUGCGAAAGCGUGGGUAGCAAACAGGAUUAGAUACCCUGGUAGUCCACGCUGUAAACGAUGGAUACUAGGUGUAGGAGGUAUCGACCCCUUCUGUGCCGCAGCUAACGCAAUAAGUAUCCCGCCUGGGGAGUACGGUCGCAAGGCUGAA